UUCAAGGUGACUUGCUCAGCCUGCUUUCUC
rnacentral:piRNA from 1 species